AUUCGUGUAGUAAUAUGCCCUAACUUUUCUGUACGAAAGGAGACCGUAAAGGCAGAGCAAACGAAACUUGAGGAUGAAGAUGAAGAUGUGUUGAUAAGAUCUGAAACGUAAAAUGCAUAAAACUUAAAUUUUCUCGAUGUUGCAGAUACAUUCAUACAAAUGAUGUUGAAGAAACAAAGAGAAAAGGAACUUGGACUGUACCAUUUUGUUUGCUGCUUCUAAGAUAAAGGAGGUAAAUUUCCUCUGUUGACAAAAAAAUGGUUGAGGAGUCGGAAAGUUUGACUGAAGAUUAAGGAUAUCAAAUGAAGAUUAUUAUUGAAAAAAGAGCACUUUGAAGUACUAGGAGAAUUUGAAAACAUCUUGGUGAAAUAGUCUGACUGAUUAUGACAGAACAUCAAAAGAAAUGACGAAAAAUUACACAUCUUAUCAAAAUAGCACUACUAGAAACUAAAAGCUACUUGCAAUUUUCACUGGUUUUGAGAUCAGUAACAGUCUGACAAGGAAAGAAUUUAAUGAACAUGAUUAUGAUGCCUCUUGAUAAAUAUAAAAACAUAUUGACUGUAAAAUAAUUACCAGUUACCAAUUAUAUCUGUUGUUUACAAAAUUUGUUAUUUGGAAAUAUCUGUUGAAUGUUUUGAAAUUAAAAUGUGUUAACUUAAAUGA